GAAGGAAAGAGACCUGGCCCACGAGCACACGCAACUAGGUCCAAGUGUCCUGCAAAGGAAGAAAGCACACAGGCACGCGCGGCCAGAGACCAGAUGUCUUGAAAAGGGAGCGACUCAGCUAGCUUUGGGUACACUGGGCCAGCUCAAAACCGGCUGGCCGGUACGACCGGGCACGCGUGAUAAAGGAUUUAGAGGCCAGGCCGGCGCAACCUUCGCCACAAACUCGGUCUCCCGCCCACCACCGCUGCCUGCCACCAGGGGGCACUCCCCGACCCAAGCAACGGAGAGUCACAGCUCAGAUCAGACAGGCCUGCACCUGGGCUCUUGCACCAGAGUUUGGAAACUGCCAAGUGACUCUGCUGGAGUUGGACAUGAAUAUAAUCCAGUACGUGGAGGCAGAAAGAGGAAGGAAGAUCAAGAGUUCAAGGAGGCUUGAGAGUGGGGGCAGAAGAGAGAA
rnacentral:lncRNA from 1 species